rnacentral:rRNA from 1 species
GAUGAACGCUGGCGGCGUGCCUAAUACAUGCAAGUCGAGCGAACGGACGAGAAGCUUGCUUCUCUGAUGUUAGCGGCGGACGGGUGAGUAACACGUGGAUAACCUACCUAUAAGACUGGGAUAACUUCGGGAAACCGGAGCUAAUACCGGAUAAUAUUUUGAACGGGAUGGUUCAAAAGUGAAAGACGGUUUUGCUGUCACUUAGAGAUGGAUCCGCGCUGCAUUAGCUAGUUGGUAAGGUAACGGCUUACCAAGGCAGCGAUGCAUAGGCGACCUGAGAGGGUGAUCGCCCACACUGGAACUGAGACACGGUCCUGACUCCUACGGUAGGCAGCAGUAGCGAAUCUUCCGCAAUAGGCGAAAGCCUGACGGAGCAACGCCACGUGAGUGACGAAGGUCUUCCGAUCGUAAAACUCUGUUAUGAGGGAAAAACAUAUGUGUAAGUAACUGUGCACAUCUUGACGGUACCUAAUCAGAAAGCCCCGGCUAACUACGUG